UAGAAAAGUAGCCAUUAAAAUGAGGGUCUGUUGGUUGGCUAAACUGUAUAAAAGGCAGUGUGCCAGGAGAGACUUUUAAAGGUAUUUGGGGAGUUGUUAGGGAAUGUGUUAGGUAGGAGUCAUCCAGGAGGUUGAAAAAGAAGGUCAAAAUAGGUCGGUCAGGGUCAAAUCGGGUGGUGUGGUUAUUGCAACAGAAGCAGCAGCAGCCGCAGCAUCGCCAACAAGUGCAGUGACAGAGCAGAAGGAGCCCUGACAGAACAGGGGGAUAGAAGCCAACAGAGAAAGGAGUUGCAGUUUCUCUGGAGCCUUGGCAGCGCAGAUGCGGUGAGAGGCAGGGAUAAUGCUGCCUGCUUCUCCUUGUUCCGCUUGGAUCAGCAUUCUAUUGGCACGUCUGUGGCGGCGGUGAAGUCCAGGACCUACACUCGUUGGGUAAUUGGAACCCGCAGAGGAGGAGCACUGGAGAGUCCCUCAGUGUCUCAGAGUGGAAGAAGCGGACCGAAACCCUCUGGUGAUGUUGUAUCCAGGAAUAGGAGCAGAGGCCGAAUGUUCCAUACCACUUCCUUUGAAGCCACAAGAAACUACAGACUGUUCCCGUGUCUAAGGUAUCCAGGAGAGCCAUCCCAUAUAUCUACUCAUUUCUAUCUUUCUUUCAUCUUCUAAGUUGUCUUUGACCAGUUCAUCUUUCCUUGACAUUAUCUCUCUGCCCGAUCAUUGAGCCCCUGGAGGAGGAUGGCAGAAGAAUCGUGGCAAAUACUGCAGAGGGCUUGCUCUGGUCAAAUGUCCUUUAAAAAAGGGUUAUAAUAUAAGAUAAAAUAUUCUUAAUUAUCUGGUCUUUAAUUCAGACUAUAUGUUUCAGCUAUGCAGUGGAGUUUUAAAAGACCAAAGACUGUAUUUUAUGAAUGGGCUUGGAAGGAUUAGAUUUGUAUCAGUAGACAUCAGUAAAUGUCAAUUUCACUGUACACCCACAAACCGACAAAACAAUACUUCCAUCAGUAAUAAUCAAAAUUUACAGAUAAGCAAAGUAAGAAUAAUGCUGCUUGAGAACUUCUUAGACUUUGAUUUAAGGAGAGAUUUAUUUUGUAUGAUUUGACACAUGAUAUUGACAAUUUGUGUUUCAACGGUUAUAAACCUUUACCUUUUUGAAGCUCAGCAUUUACUAUCAUUAAAUAAUUAUUGUCUGAACCCUCUUAAUUUUCCAGAACUGUGAAAAUUUUAAUUGAUAACAAUAGAAAAAAUCCUUAAAACCCAUAAUUUUGCACAACUGUGAAAAUGUACAUAAAUAAAAAAAUAUUAACAAUAAACAUCAAUAUUAUGUGUCAAAAUUAUUUUAAAAAUACAAACGGAAUUGUGCCAAGCCUAUUUUUGAAUUAGUCCAAGGAGAUCAAAGAGAAUACAGACAACACAUAGGGAAAACAGCUUUAGCAACAGUCAAUAAAUGCACCGAGGUGAUAGAGAUAGGAUUAUUGUGCUUUCAGUAGCUAACCUGUGUUAUCUGUAUUUUCCUACUUCAUUUGUUUAGAUCGGCUCCAGGGAAUGACACAAAUGGGAGGAAGAGAGCAAAACAUUAGUUCUCUGAGUGCUUUGUGAUGUGCAUAAUAAAUCCAGCAAAAGGCCUUGAAUGGGCUUGUCUGUUCACUGAUGACAACAGACCCUGCCUUACAUGUCAUGACCCCUGGAGUUCUGAGGGGCAUGACUCUCAAAGGGUUAAUCUUUUCCACCUGUUAUUGACCACAGAGCAAGCUCCCCUGGUAGCUUUCUUACCAUGAGAAUGUGGCCUGUGAACUUUGAACCGGAGUGGGCCAAGUUACAGUAAGAACCCUCCAUGAUAAUGAGCCCAGCUAUUUUCUUAAGUAAAAUGCAGGUCAUCCGUCCCAUAAUAUUUUGGUCAGUUGUCUCCAGCACUGAAGCAAACUGCACACCGCCAGAAAAGCGGAUUGGGGAGGGAAUGGAGUUUGAGGCAAAUAAGAAAUUUCAGUUAACAGUGUCCACAAGGAUUACAAUGAAGUGUAUACUAAGUUGUUAUUCUCUGCUUUUCUUCUGAGAGUAUUAGGCGCAUCCCUUCAUGGACACAAAAAUGGUUUUUAGAAAAAUAAAAAUGUUUAAAUUAUGUUCAAACUGAGACACAAAGCAGCAAAAGCCAAAAAGUUUGAAGUAAAGGCUGGGGCUGGACACAAGCAAUACAGCUGUUUCAGUCUAUUGGAUAUAUAUAUAUAUUUACAAUGGGGGAAAAAUGGACCAAGUAUUUGUCUCCAUUACACUGGGGUGCACGCAGGGUAAGUCCACAGAAAUGGAGAUGAGAAAUUUUGGGGGAUGAGGCUUUCAUGAGAGUUUUCUGUACAGUUCAGAUCGAAAGGGCUGGAUCAUCCUCUUCCACUGGAAAACCCAUGCGGGUUGGGAGAAAGGGGGGUACAAGGGGAAGUCAUCUCUGUAAAGCUUUCCUCAGUGAACUGCCCCCUAAGAGGGAAGAUGAUCCAGUGGUUAAGGGACUCACUUAGGAAAUGUGCAUUGAAGUCCCUGCUCAGUUACGGAGCUCCUGUCUGGCCUUGGGCAAAUCAUUUAGGGAUUGUCUACACAAUACAUUGGUCUGCACCAGUGGAGUAUAUAUUGCGCUCAGUACCAAUGUGUCAUGCACUAACUGGCCUGUGUUGAUCCUGCUGGUGUGCACUAAAAGUUCCCUAGUGUGCAUUAACAUAGUCCUGUUUCUUUUAUUUUCUGUUGUUUAUUGUCUUUUGCACAUCCCUGGUUUUGGCUGGGAUCAGAAGAGAAACAAUAAUAUUAAUGAUGAUACAGUAAUAAUAUUCCAUGUAUAGCUCUUAUUCACUUUGAUUAGCACUUACUCCAUCAAGUAGUAACAUGAGUACUGUAAAUGCUUAGCAACCAAAGAGAUAUACCAUAGAACCCUUAACACACAAUACUUCCAAUUCCUGUAUCUCAAAGCACUUACCAAAGGUCCCUAAGUAUCAUUUUUCCAUUUUGCAAUAACAUAGGAAAUAUGAUGGCAAACAAA